GGAGCAGCCUGGGAUGGUGGGAGGUGUCCCUGCCAUGGCAGGGGUGGAAUGGGAUGAACUUCGAGGUCCUUUCCAACCCAAACCAUUCCACAAUUCCAUGCCCACUCUGGCUCAGCAUUCCCAUGAAAGAACUGACUCUCUGGACCACGACCUGAAGUUUGGUCAAGGCUCAGGCCCUGAAUGAAGACCUUGUGCACAAUUAGAGCAUGACAGAACUUUGUGUCUCACCACGGUGGCCAUCCAGGGACCAGCAGUCACUUUGUCACCCUGCCCCAGUCACCACAGCCGGAGGGAGCCAAGCCCAGGAAGACUUUCCUAACCCUCUCUGCUGGGGAAUGGGGCAGCCUGGGCGAGCCUACGGACUGAUCCACAGACAUCGCUGGAGGCAGCGACCUGGAGCAGCACAGCCACUCUUUCCCUCUGAGUAGGUGACGGCUCACACCUGGGACAUGCUGUCCCCUCUGCCCCCCUUAACGAGGUCCCUGAAGCCCCCAGUUGGGCAGCAAGGGCCCUGCCUGCACCGGGCUGGGACAGCGGGCUCCGAAAGGACACGGGGCUGGGGCUGUGCCCAGCACUGACUCAGCAGGAAAACCCAGCUUGAGUCACCUUCCCGGAGAAGGAGGGAAGCCACCAGUGCAUCACAGCCUGCCACGUACCACAGGCAUUUCCAGGUGCAGGAACCACCUGGGUCCUCAGGAGCUCCAGCUGCAGAGCUGCUGCUGCUGCUGGGGCAUCUCAAUGCAGAACUCUGGGCAAGUGGGAAAGGAGCAGGAGGACUGAGGAGAGCUCACGGUGCUCAUUCCAGCAGGGAAAUGUCUGGCAGAGCUCAUUUGGGUACCUGCCCACUGAGAAGACGGUGGUCUCUCCAGGAUGCAUCCUGCUUUUGCCCUCCUUGGACCGGCCCUGGCGCUGCAGCGGGUGCCUCUUCCUCCUGCUGCAGUGGAUGCAGGGGGCCUGCGUGGAGCCCAGGUGUACCGUGUGGUGAUGUGGUGGGCCCCCAUCCUGGCUGCUACUGUGGGGACACAGGCUGCAACAGAAGGACAUGACAGGUCGUGUCACCUCGGGGAGACACCCCAGCCCUGGUGCAGCCCCACUGCAGCAAGCUCUGGGGGGGGACCUCUGCUGGGGACAGGAAUGAGGAAGAGCUGUUCCACUUGACAGCAGGGUGAAGCACUCCUCAAAACCCUCAGGAGAGCAGGACUCUCCGUUGGGAAGAUGCUUUGAAGCAGCUGGAAAGGGGCUGCUUGUCCCUCCCUCCCAGCCAGAAGCUGCUGUGAGCUUCCCUCACCUGGGCACUGGCACUGGCACGUCCCCUUCAGUUUCCCCCAGCAUCUCCUUGAGGGCCUCCACAUUUGCUGAAGAGAGAGGGAAAAACGGGAAUACGUCAGCCAAAGUGGUCAGCAGAGCUCUGGGCCGGCCCAUGGAAGUGCUCACCUUCAUUUUGGAUGAUGCAUCUCACGAUCUUCUCCACGGUGUCAUCGUUCUUGUCCUCAUCUGCAAAGAGACAACGUGGCACUGAGGGCUGGCAUUCGGGGACUCCGCUCACUCAUCCCUUCCCUGGAGCAGCUGCAUCAGCAGAGAUGUUGGAGAAGCCUCGUGUCCCCUGUCACACUGGGAAGCCACUGGGGAAUACCAGAUCCCUCCUCCUGGAAAAGAAACCGCUGAGCCAGCAGCUGCGUGUGCAGGGAGAGGGCGUUGUGUCGCUCCUUCCCAACAGGGGAGCAUCCCGUGAAACGAGCAGGAAGCAGGUCCCAAAAAGUCGAAGGAGGAGGGUCCUUGUCCAGCCCUGGAGCUGCAGGAUGCUGCACAUGCCCGAGGUUCCAAGGGUAAACGGGACAUGCCCACAGAAAACAAACCCAAAUAAACCCACAGGGACCUGCUACACACAGAAAUGGGGAACACACCAUGAUACAGAGAGCCCCAGAGCUGAGCACCAUUAAAAGCUUAAAAGGUU